UGGGGAAUAUUGCACAAUGGGCGCAAGCCUGAUGCAGCGACGCCGCGUGAGGGAUGGAGGCCUUCGGGUUGUAAACCUCUUUUAUCGGGGAGCAAGCGAGAGUGAGUUUACCCGUUGAAUAAGCACCGGCUAACUACGUGCCAGCAGCCGCGGUAAUACGUAGGGUGCAAGCGUUAUCCGGAAUUAUUGGGCGUAAAGGGCUCGUAGGCGGUUCGUCGCGUCCGGUGUGAAAGUCCAUCGCUUAACGGUGGAUCCGCGCCGGGUACGGGCGGGCUUGAGUGCGGUAGGGGAGACUGGAAUUCCCGGUGUAACGGUGGAAUGUGUAGAUAUCGGGAAGAACACCAAUGGCGAAGGCAGGUCUCUGGGCCGUUACUGACGCUGAGGAGCGAAAGCGUGGGGAGCGAACAGGAUUAGAUACCCUGGUAGUCCACGCCGUAAACGGUGGAUGCUGGAUGUGGGGCCCGUUCCACGGGUUCCGUGUCGGAGCUAACGCGUUAAGCAUCCCGCCUGGGGAGUACGGCCGCAAGGCUA
rnacentral:rRNA from 1 species